UACGUAGGGUGCAAGCGUUGUCCGGAAUUAUUGGGCGUAAAGAGCUCGUAGGCGGUCUGUCACGUCGGCUGUGAAAACCCGAGGCUCAACCUCGGGCCUGCAGUCGAUACGGGGCAAACUAGAGUACUGCAGGGGGAGACUGGAAUUCCUGGUGUAGCGGUGAAAUGCGCAGAUAUCAGGAGGAACACCGGUGGCGAAGGCGGGUCUCUGGGGCUGUAACUGACGCUGAGGAGCGAAAGCGUGGGUAGCGAACAGG
rnacentral:rRNA from 1 species